UACGUAGGGUGCAAGCGUUGUCCGGAAUUAUUGGGCGUAAAGAGCUCGUAGGCGGUUUGGCGCGUCUGCUGUGAAAACUCGGGGCUUAACCCCGGGCCUGCAGUGGGUACGGGCAGACUAGAGUGCGGUAGGGGAGACUGGAAUUCCUGGUGUAGCGGUGAAAUGCGCAGAUAUCAGGAGGAACACCGAUGGCGAAGGCAGGUCUCUGGGCCACUACUGACGCUGAGAAGCGAAAGCAUGGGGAGCGAACAGG
rnacentral:rRNA from 1 species